rnacentral:rRNA from 1 species
AACGAACGCUGGCGGUAUGCUUGACACAUGCAAGUCGAACGGACUUGUUGGGGCUUGCUCUGACAAGUUAGUGGCAAACGGGUGAGUAACACGUGGGAAUCUACCCAUCAGUACGGAAUAACAUUGGAAACAAAUGCUAAUACCGUAUAUUCUCUAAGGAGGAAAGAUUUAUCGCUGAUGGAUGAGCCCGCGUUAGAUUAGGUAGUUGGUAGGGUAAUGGCCUACCAAGCCGACGAUCUAUAGCUGGUCUGAGAGGAUGAUCAGCCACACCGGGACUGAGACACGGCCCAGACUCCUACGGGAGGCAGCAGUGGGGAAUAUUGGACAAUGGGCGAAAGCCUGAUCCAGCAAUACCGCGUGAGUGAUGAAGGCCUUAGGGUUGUAAAGCUCUUUUAGUGGGGAAGAUAAUGACGGUACCCACAGAAAAAGCCCCGGCUAACUCCGUGCCAGCCGCCGCAGUAA